rnacentral:snRNA from 1 species
AUACCUUUCUCGGCCUUUUGGCUAAGAUCAAGUGUAGUAUCUGUUCUUAUCAGUUUAAUAUCUGAUACGUGGGCUAUUAGCUCACAUGAUAUUAACUCAAUUUUUUUAGGGAAAAAUCCCAUUAAGGCAGCUUGCUGUUUGGGUUUUUGAGUGUUGCCUUGGCGUUGCACUAUUGCCUCGGUUUGACGCAUCCCAC